UGAAGGAGCUAAUGGUGGAGGCAUCCUCACGCUGCUGUUGUGGCAUAGUGUUCUCAGAGCGUAGGCUGCCUGUAAGGUCGAUACUAGAGUCUUUCAUGACAAUGUUCUGAUAGUUAAAUGAAAGCUAUCUGAUCUACCCUUAGAUGCCCCACAGUUUCACUUUUACUAAAUUCCAUGGGUUCCCCAAUCCCUCAGGUCAGCCCAGGCACAACACAAGUAGCUCUAGAUGCUCUCUAAUUCAAGGCAUCUGGGAGGGCUCUAGGCAGAGGAAGGACCCGGGUGGUUUGGGUUUAAGGAGCAUUCUGUCUGCUUAUUUGCCUUCAAAGGGACUCUGGACCACCCUGGAGCUUUGGUCAGAGUGCAUUCUAGGGUGACUGUUGCCUUGGUGUCCAGCUGCUGACCCCAUUCCAGGGAGAAGAUCUUUUCCUCCUCACUGCUGCUCACACCAAUCAUUUCUGACAGUAACAGCUCCCGCAUUAACCUCCCCAUAGGUAUUUAUGAAUUUCCCCCGUCUUCUUCAUCGUGGAAAGAGGCUGAGUCUGUGUGGUUUACUCCAGAGACUCCACCUUGUCUGAGGAACCUUUGCAUCUAGUAAGUAUUAGUAAAUGGUGAAUGAAUGAACAGACUCUGGUGCUAAGCUUUGUGUUUGCUUCCCAUUUAGUUUCUAUUUAUUAUUGUUGUUCACGGUGGAUGCACUCAAGAGUAGGCACAAAGAAGUCAGUUUGUUCUCUCCUCCCAUCAUGGGACCUGAGCAUGGAACUCAACAUCCUCGGGAUUUUAAAACAAGUGCCUUUAUCCAUUGAGCCACGUUGCUGACCCAACCAUUGGUUACUAGGCCAGUAGUAAGUUGUCCCUCUGUACCUGUAAGAGGUGGUGUGUGUGUGUG
rnacentral:lncRNA from 1 species